CUGAAGCCUGACGAGGAUGAGAACCUCCGGGGGCAAGAGGUUCGACCCGAGCGAAGCGAGAGAACGUUGCGUCAGCAACGGCCCGCAGGGCGAGCCACGCAGUGGCGAGUCAUCCUCUAUCACCGACCA
rnacentral:sRNA from 1 species